UGCUAACAUUUUUGUUUGCUUUGUAGCUCAUAUUUUUAUUCGUGAUAAAACUAAAAAAAGUGUGCUGAACUGCAACAAUCUAGUCGCUGAAGAUUUGAUGAGUUUAUCAUGUGUACCAACGAAGAUCUGCGAAAUGAAAAAUUUCAGCCGUCAUCGCCGGUUCGGCGGGAUGUCCCACUAGACUUAUCGUUACAACGUCCAGGUUCACUGAGUCAUCCAAUUAACACUUCGGUACAUCGCCUGGGACUGAGUUAGAUAAACCGAAAUUGUCUUCGAUUACUCAUGAAGCAUCGAGUACGCUGGAUAUCGUUUUUAAUGAGCAAAU